rnacentral:rRNA from 1 species
UACAGAGGGUGCGAGCGUUAAUCGGAAUUACUGGGCGUAAAGCGCACGUAGGCGGUCUUUUAAGUCGGGGGUGAAAUCCUGGAGCUCAACUCCAGAACUGCCUUCGAUACUGGAAGACUUGAGUCCGGUAGAGGUGAGUGGAACUGCGAGUGUAGAGGUGAAAUUCGUAGAUAUUCGCAAGAACACCAGUGGCGAAGGCGGCUCACUGGCCCGGUACUGACGCUGAGGUGCGAAAGCGUGGGGAGCAAACAGG